GAGGGUAUAGCUCAGUGGUGGAGCACAUGCUUAUCAUGCGCGAGGUCCUGGGUUCAAUUCCCAGUACCUCCA
rnacentral:tRNA from 1 species